rnacentral:lncRNA from 1 species
AGGUUGUAUGAAAAAUAUGUGUGUUUGUGGGCGUGCCCGCAAUUUGCGUAAAUCCCGGCUGCCACAGUCAUUUCACAUUGCGCGGCCUCGGUACAGUCUCAGGAUCAACUAUGGCACAGACACUGAUUCAGUGCGUCUUGUUUGCAGCUCUUCUUCUUAUUCCUCACUGUGUUUUUGGGAUGUUCGUCGCUUUGGGAACAGACUUUACGUUUUCAUCGAAUAAAACCUGUGCGGACAGUGAAGAAUUCAAACUGAUUCAUGUGAAUGAUGACAGAGAGCUCAUCGUGGCUCGUCGUGUUGAUGGCACUUGGAAAACACCAACAUCCUCCAGUCUUAGGUUGAAUUACACAGACCGGGUUGAACAUCAGUCCUCUUCGUCUCUCGUCUUAAGUCGUCUGAACUACAACGAUAACGAAUUGUACGAGUUCCUCUGCAGGGGUGAAGAUGCUGGCCGCACCCAGCUGAACAUUGUGUUUCUCAUACCGGUUCCUGUGACUUUGGGGGACACAGCUACACUUUGGUGCCAUUUCAUGACUGCAGGUGGAUCAGAUGUGAAGUUUGUCUCCUGGGAAAAAGGAGGACAGCAGGUGGUGAGAGCGGACCUCUGGUCUGGGAAUGUGACUUAUGGACCAGGAUUUGAGACUAAUGUGUCUGUACCAUCAGACUGGGUCUCACAGGGAGACUUGACGCUGACUAUAAGUCGGGUUCAGCCGCAGGACCAGGGUGAUUACUACUGCUACACUCAUGAUAAAGACGGAGGGAAGAGGCCUGGACAUCCAGGUCCUGUGAGGUUGACAGUGAACCAGAGACUCUCUGCUCAGACCAGCACUCCGCAUCCUGUGUGUCCGACACAGACUGAUGAAGACAGAGGAAUGGCUGCUUGGCUCGUAAUCAUCAUAACACUCGUGAUAUCUGUGGUUGUUGGAGCUCUCUGCUUUGGUCUUGGCUGGUGGACUAAAUCUGGUAGAUCAGAUGUCUCAUCUGGAUCAAGUACAAGUUCUGAGCCAGACGAAAACAUACCACUUUCCACUGAAAUAGGCCCUACUGAUGCUCAGGUUAAUGGAAAUUGCUUUUCAUGUUUUUCAGUUUGAACUGGUGAAAGAUUUUAAGAUGUUGUGGAGCAGAGAUCCAGAAGAUCACAGA